rnacentral:lncRNA from 1 species
GAGCUGCACUCCGCUGGGCUCUUGGCAGCACCCUGUGCUCUGAGGGUGUCUUGCCCGCCGGGCGCCGUGGCUCACGCCUGUAAUCCCAACACUUUGGGAGGCUGAGGCGGGCGGAUCACUUGAGGUCAAGAGUUCAAGACCAGCCUGGCCAACAUGAUUCUACUCUAAAAGUCACCAGGAAAAAUUCAGCUCCACUGGUCCUGGCUCUAAGUCUACUAGCAAAAUCUUCCAGAGAAGUGGAAAAGCCAUCAGCCAAUGUGUUAGACUAUCAUUUCCAUGACCUUACACCUAUCAAAAAGGCACUAUUACCAGGCUUAUAGAAUUCUAAAAAAGUUGGAAACCAUUUUCCAUUAUAAAAGAAAUUCUUCCAAAUCACACAAAACACUCUGACACUUCUCCAAUUCCCCCUAUCAUGGGGCUGGCAGCAGCCGCUUUGCGUCCUGAAUGUCAUGACAGUGAUGAUAACAGUAAUGAUGAUAACAGCAAUGAUGAAGUCUCACAUUUAAAAUUUUCAAGUCACUCAUCACAUCCCAAGUCACUCCCUUCAUUACCUUUUAUUUAUACUGGAGUCAUCCUGUGUGCCUCAGUCAGACCAUUUUGUAUGUACAAUGACCAUCUGAGGCACUGCCUAUAAAGUGGAAGAUAUAAUUAUAAUACUACAGACGUCAUUCCAGCUUUCCAGUUGCUUAUGGUCCAGCAGGGAGGAUGCACAUGGGAAAAAUAAUAACUAAUGACAAAUGUGAUGAGUCUUAACAAAGAAGAAGAGCAUAUUGCAAGGGAAUGUAAUUCACUCCAGGGACAAUGAGAUUUAACAUGCAGUUUGCAGAUCCUCCCUUCUCUGGGUCACCUGAAAAUAAGCCACAAACAAAGGAAUGAAAUUGUUGAUGAAAAGGGAAGAGGCAAGACUCCAUAUGAAGAAUACAACUGACUCACCUGUCUGUACAUGCCUCUGUGUGUGUGUUUUAUAUUGGUGCUGGUGAAGAUAGUUCUUUAUGCUGAUGCUUAAUAAGGUGAAAUGUGUCUAUUUUCUUCCAUUGGCCCAGGCACAGAUGCGAUUAUAAUUGCUAAGAUUAUUUGCAUAUUGGCUUUUAAUGAUGCAUUUAAAAAUAUUCAUCCCAUUUACUGACUUAUGCAGGCAAUGUACUUUUGUAAAUGUGGGCCAGCAUCAUGCUUAAAUUCCCAAACCACUAUUUAUUUAAAACUCAUCACUUCAGUUUUUAUACCCUUUCUCCCCCAUAAGGGAAAAAAUAUGAUUCUGACUGUAUAAGCACCAACUAAACAGAACACAAAACAUGGCAGACGAUAAAAACAUAUUUUCACAAAUGAGACAUGUCAUUUUACCAUCGAGGAGAGAAACAAAAUAAGCUGGUUUUCAAGUUCCAUAUCUUGUGUGCUCCUUUCAGCUAAAUGCCCUUACAUCUGUAAGCCCUUGGGACAGGUUAAGGCUUUUAUUAUUAUUUUAAAGUCUUCAUAACUACAACCUAGCAUCCAAAGUGAAACAGAUGCUAUUGGAUAUGAGUAGCAUAUGCAAUGGAAAUAUUGACAUUGCCUUCCCGACAGUCAUGAGGGAUAGACCAUAGGCUUUUUGGUAACCUAUAUUUUCUAGGCCCAAAGCAGGGAAUGAGAUGGCAGGGAAAUUCAGGGUAAACUCCAAAUUUACAUAAAGUUAUAGAAGAAUAUAGAUCAUGAGUAGUGGCUAGCACCUUCCUGACUUCCAGAAAAUGGUGGUGCCGAUAUUGAACAACAGUUUGGAGAAAAUGUAAAAUGUUUACAUUUACAUUUACAGUUUAGUCUUUGAACAACAGUUUGGAGAAAAUGUAAAAUGAAAAUUUGUUAACGAACUUGUUUUUAAAAAGCACCUAGACUCCAUAUAAGAGUACUUGUCCUAUGUUAUUUUCAUAAACUACAUUUGUGAUUGUUUUGGUGAGUCUUUUACUUUGAAUCCCAUUUGCAUAAAUUUGUUAAUAGGGAGAUCAUAGAAUCACUGAUUAAUUGCAUCAUACAGAGUUGUAUGAUGUGGAUUAGAUUUUGCCUAAUCUAACCUCUCUAUCUUAGAGAUGGAGGGGGGUGGAGUGGGAG